GCGGAUUGGGGCAGCGCGUGCCGGAAGCCGGCCGCCGCCAUCUUGGUAAAGGACGGGGACACCGCCCAGCCGCCCGCCCACCAUCUUGGCAAAGGGUCUGGGUAGCGGGUGGCCGAAGUCGUUGUUCCUCUCCCCGAAGGGUGAACGCUGCUCCGUGCGUUGUCCAAUAUGAAAGGAAAGAACUAGGCUUUUGGCAAGCCGCCUGUCCGGAGCCCGUCUACACGGGCAGCCUCCAGACCGUUUUGGGCCGCCAUCUUGGCAAAGGAAGCGACGCUCCCCGCCGCGGGAAAACGGGAACCAAAGCGUUUGCCAAAGUAGAAGCCUCAGCCAGUAGAGUUUUUAUGAAGGGCGCUCAACAGUCCACUUGUUAACCAAAGCUCCUUCUGGAUCCAGAAGCGAUGCCUCCUCUUUGCCUUUUCUUUGGAGCAAGUCAACUAGGAGGAGGCCCUUGCCUUGGAUGCUCAUAGUGGACCCUAAGUCUAAAGCCUUUGUGAACCCACUGACUGGAGUUCGAGGUCCUUAUUCAUGUAUAAACUACACCCACGGCAUCAGGACAGCAUAGCAGUUAAGAGCCAGACUGGCUGGCUGGCCUCGAGCACUAUGAGGAAUGAUAAUUUAAAGUUGGAUAUCGUAAGAGGACUACAAACAGAACACUAGUAUUUGGAGAAGGUAUUCAGAAGAGAUCAAGGACUCCGGUAUGUUAGAAGUGGAAGAGACUGAGGUCAAGUUUGCAUUUUGGAAAUUGAGACCCACAGCAUUUAAGGGGCUUUAACAGCCACAGAGCUGGUAGAACAAUGUCAGCUCUAAAACUUGGUUCUCCCAAAUCCUUAUCUAAUACAGACACCUUGGCCAUACAUCAUGAGGCCAUACAACAUUAGAGAUGCAACAUUAUCGAAGGAACAUACAACUAAUUCUGAGACUGCAUCUACAUAUCAUAGAGCAGAAACCUAGCUGUCAUCUGGAUAGCCUCAUCUAUGGGAACAAAUAAA
rnacentral:lncRNA from 1 species